rnacentral:lncRNA from 1 species
CCCCUUCCACUUUUCUUUUUAAACUAUGUAGUGGUAUUGCAUCAUAGGCAUAUUAAGCAGGGUUCAUUACACACUUGAUUGAACGAGUCACACAUUCUUUUUAAACUAUGUAGUGGUAUUGCAUCAUAGGCAUAUUAAGCAGGGUUCAUUACACAAUUGAUUGAACGAGUCACACAUGCACCUUGGUUAUUACAGCAUUGAUAAAGAGUAGUGAAAUCAUCUCCACAAAAAGAAAGGGGGAAAACAGUGAUCGUGGAUGGAGUGGCUAAUCGUCAUCUCGAUCUCAAUGCAUCCACUGUUCCAGAUGCUGGGACAAUCUUCGUGGUCGUCGCCGCCGUCGGUAACCACUGUAUUUUUUGAGCCUCACCUCACAAUUUGAGGGCAAAAUUCAGAAACAAAGAGAGGAAGUGGAUCGAGAGGACGGGAAGGAAGAAAAGCAUACCUGGCAGCAGCGGAUCCCACACCAGUGCUCUUCCAGGAUCCACUUGACACUGCUUCCCUGGCCCUGCUACGAGGAGGCAACAAAAUCAAGUUCAGUGUUCCUAUGGAACCUACAAUUGAUCAGAUCAGUAUAAUCGUGAGCAUCUAUAUGCAAGAGAGAGAACAUAAUUUGGUUCAUCAUGACCCACUUGCUGACCCGUUGCUAGAAAGCCAAGUAAAAUGACUUCAUUACGUGUGAUCUAGCUCUGUACUAAUAAACUAUGGAAGUGUUGGAAAGCUAAACAAAAUCCCAAAACGAUCCUCAUUAUUAAGCAUGGAUGAUUAGGGCUAAGUAACUUUUCGAUCAAUAGGGCAUGAUACAAAAAGUAAUGUAAUUAACAUGAAGACUCGCUUCAAAAUCAUCGAGAUGCUUUGUAGCAUCAAUGGAGAUGUUUGCCACUAUUGUAUUUGAAGCUUUCCUGAACCAGUUAAGUAUUCAACUCCGAGCUGAUCCUGGAUAAGAAGUUCAGGGAAAAAGAUACCAUCAUAAAUAUUUAGUAACUUGACUUGAAUAAAUCCUUCCUUCGUCAUUAAUUAAUCUAGUUAAUGCAUACAAUACACAGGUAGGUGAACUGUUGAUUGCUGAAAGUGCAUUGCACAUAUCUCCAAAUCAGCACUAUAAAUAGUACUGUUAUUAAAUUAGCACAACUAAAAAUAUAUUAAAUAAUAUGCAUGAAAAUGCUCAUGGAUUAAUUUAUCUAGCUUCUAUUGUCAAGAUAAUAGCUCUGCUCUCUUUAGUGGUGAAGUUUUUUCAUGAUACACGAGAUGAACAUCGAAAUAAAGAAACUGAAUUGAGAUCUUAUUUGGUCUGGCAUCCAGGUAAAAGGUGAACGCCAUACACCAACAACCAUGAACAUAAACGUAAAUAGAAGCAACAACAAUAAAAAAUCCUGAUAUUACCUACUGCCCCAACAAUUUAUCCUCAUGUUGGAUCCAUAACAGGGAGGAGAGACGAGAGGCAAGUUGUACCUGAGGCGCGCAUGCGACCAAGGGAACGCACGAACGAAUUGAUGAAGAACCCAAGGCUCACACGACGCCUCUGCUGCUCCUGCAGCACGCAUCCAUUUCAACAUCAUUCUUCACGAUGUCAAAGACGAGGGAGAGGCGGCUGCUUGGCCAACGACCAGCCACAACACCUUCACCAACCCGNNNNNNNNNNGCCAUACACCAACAACCAUGAACAUAAACGUAAAUAGAAGCAACAACAAUAAAAAAUCCUGAUAUUACCUACUGCCCCAACAAUUUAUCCUCAUGUUGGAUCCAUAACAGGGAGGAGAGACGAGAGGCAAGUUGUACCUGAGGCGCGCAUGCGACCAAGGGAACGCACGAACGAAUUGAUGAAUGAAAAUAUAUUAAAUAAUAUGCAUGAAAAUGCUCAUGGAUUAAUUUAUCUAGCUUCUAUUGUCAAGAUAAUAGCUCUGCUCUCUUUAGUGGUGAAGUUUUUUCAUGAUACACGAGAUGAACAUCGAAAUAAAGAAACUGAAUUGAGAUCUUAUUUGGUCUGGUAUCCAGGUAAAAGGUGAACGCCAUACACCAACAACCAUGAACAUAAACGUAAAUAGAAGCAACAACAAUAAAAAAUCCUGAUAUUACCUACUGCCCCAACAAUUUAUCCUCAUGUUGGAUCCAUAACAGGGAGGAGAGACGAGAGGCAAGUUGUAC